rnacentral:lncRNA from 1 species
GUUUGGAGUCCCUGACCCGGUGUUUCCCGGAGAUGAUAGCCUGAGGGACAAGAGUGGAGCUCUUUGGCAGUGUACUACCCUGUGCCUGUAACCUGCCUCAAGACAUGAAGUGUGGUCACCGUAUAAUUCAUUAUCCAAACUUAUCCCAAGGGGGCCACUGUGGAGAGAAGAAGAGCUUUUACAAGCAGCCAGACAACAGCAGGCACCCACCCUCCACUGUGGAAGAUGAGGGAAGGUUAUGGGCUUCCAUCUGGGUGCUUCUUGUCGCACCUCCAGGACCAGGAAAAGCCAGCCCCAGUUACUAAUGCCUGAGGGGGCACAUUUGCAGAGCAGCAGCGGGACCUUGGGGCAUGACAGCUGCAGAGGCAGAGGUGUCCUGGGUAGGAACCCUCUGGUAGCCACGGUGUUUCCAGCUCUGGGGUGCUGCUUCCCCAGUGGACAUUUGGCAAUGUCUGAAGAACUUUUUGGUUGUCACACCUACAUAUCCUCAUGCACAGAGAUAUGAAUGAGUCUCUAAAAGGCAAGCCUGAAGAUGGGAAGUUUAACGACCCUAAAGUCAGUGGUUUUUUCUGAUGCAACUGCCUUUGAGUCACCCAUACACUUGUAAGUAAACCCUCAUCCAUCUUCACAACAUCCCUGGUUCCUUUUCCUG